UACGUAGGUGGCGAGCGUUAUCCGGAAUUAUUGGGCGUAAAGAGGGAGCAGGCGGCACUAAGGGUCUGUGGUGAAAGAUCGAAGCUUAACUUCGGUAAGCCAUGGAAACCGUAGAGCUAGAGUGUGUGAGAGGAUUGUGGAAUUCCAUGUGUAGCGGUGAAAUGCGUAGAUAUAUGGAGGAACACCAGUGGCGAAGGCGACGAUCUGGCGCAUAACUGACGCUCAGUCCCGAAAGCGUGGGGAGCAAAUAGG
rnacentral:rRNA from 1 species